GAUGAACGCUGGCGGCGUGCUUAACACAUGCAAGUCGAACGGAAAGGCCCUGCUUUUGUGGGGUGCUCGAGUGGCGCACGGGUGAGUAACACGUGAGUAACCUGCCCCUGAAUUUGUGGUAACUCCAGGAAAAUGGGGCUAAUACCGGAUAGGAGCUUCUGAUGCAUGGUGUGGGUUGGAAAGUUUCGGCGGUUGGGGCUGGAUUGGAGGCUUAUCAGCUUGAUGGUGGGGUAGUUGUUGACCAAGGCUGUGACGGGUAGGCGGCCUGAGAGGUGUAACGGGGACAUGGGGACUGAGAGACGCAGCAGACGCGAAUGGGAGGCAGCAGUGGGGAGUAUGACGCAGUGGGGGGAAGCGAGAGGCGGCGACGCCGGGUGCGUGAUGACGGGUUACGGGGUGUAAACCGAUGUCGCCUGAGACGAAGCGUGAGUGACGGUAAUGGGUAAAGAAGCACCGGCUAACUACGUG
rnacentral:rRNA from 1 species